GGCGGGCGCUGCCGGCUCUCCUCCUGGCCCUCCGCUACUGGGCCGCACGCCUGUACGCGUUACUCAGCCGUGCUGAACCAACUGCUGUGAGACAAGGGCGCCCUUACUGUGUCACGGGCGCGCCGCAGCCGGCAGCAGUGCUGUCAGAGUUCUCCUGGUCUCAAGUGCUGGCCCCUGAAAGUCUGAGGAGAUGGCUGCAGCAGCAGUGGCUGGACUGAUCCCUGUGCUGCACUCUGUGGCUGGUGACAAGUCUGGCUACUACAUUGGGCGGCAGCUAUGGUUUGGCUUAAUUGCCCUGUACGGGGUGGUGGUGUACGUGGUCCGCAUGCCCUGGGCACACAUCCAUGAAGAUUUCUGGUGCCAUGGCAACAUCACGUAUCCGUGCUUGAUUGAGUGUUUUGAAAAAAACUUUAGCAACCCCGUCAUGGGAAUUUGGUACUUCUUCUUCUUCAUCUUCGCCACUCUCUUCUUCCUCAUGGAAUUCUUCAUGGCUCAGAUUCGGCACAAGCAGGUCAAGAUGAAGUCGAUGGACUUGGUGGUAGGUGCAGCAGAGGAGGGCUCCAUGACGGGGAUCCAGGAGCACAUCCUCUCUUCCAAGGAGAAGUCCAUCCUGAACUUCCACCAGGAGAAGAUGCUUCUGCUUUUGUACCUCCUGUACUUCCUCCUGCAGCACCUAUGACUGCCCCGGCCCCUACCUCUGCCUGAUCCGGGCGACCAUGGAGAAGCGGAUGUCCAUCUACACCCUCAUCACCCUGUCCUUCCUCAUCAUCGUCUUCUGCACAGGCUUCUUCAUGUACAGCAUUCACCAUUACCUGUUGAAGGGCAUUUCCAGCUUUAAGUUUUGGAUGAAUUGACAUUUGGGAGGAAAAGCACCCUUCUUACUUAAAGACUUUCCCACUUGAACUAUGUUGUUUAUGUUUCUCUAAAUAUUGUGUCUGGGGAAGGGCCUCCUCCUGCUAACCUUCUUUGAUUUUUCUCCUUUAAAAAAUAAAUGUUUGCUGUUCUUGUUUUCUUUCUUUAUAGCCAGGCUCAGGUUGUCUUAUUGCGGGUAGGUGGUAUGCAGUAGGUGACAUUGCAGAGCUCUUUCCCGCAGGCUGUCUAAUUUCAUCCUCACCAGAAGGCUGUGACACUGAGUUUGUUUCUUUAUCCUUCCAGGAUCUUCCAUUCAGGAAGAGUUUCCAUACUCUUAGAACUAAGAGCUUUAAAUUGAUUUCUCCAGUAUGGUUUCUGUUAAAAUACAGAGAAGACAAUUCUUCUCCAAAGGAAAAUUCUAGAGUGGACUUGCAGGGUAGGUUCACCUGGUUCUGCCCCUGUGGGUUCCCCAAACUCCUAGGUCUGGGUUCAGUCUUGACACCUCGCUGGAGGCCCCAGUGAAGACUAAAUAAACAUGAUGAAUCUCACUGGGGAGAGGAUGGGUGGGAAUGAGGUUCAGUGGAAGCAAUCCACUGGGUUUCAACUGCAUGAAGAAUCGUGCCUUGCUCCCAGACCCAACCUGUCUGCCCAGAUGGCUGCAGCCCAGCUCAGGUCUACGCGGAGGUUAUGAACUACUCUCUGCAACUCCCUGCUGAGUCCUCUUGUUUGCAAGCACAAGGGAGCUUUACCAGACAUGACUAAAGCUCCUCACAUUUGUAGAGGGGCAAAGAUGGGGGUGAGAAUAAGGAAAUUGCAAAGAAAGUAUGGUCAGUCACCUCAUCCUGUGCUAGGCACAUCAUCCCCCAGAGUAGUUCCAGGGACCAUCCUGUGCCCAAGGCUUGGGCUCCCUCCAGGGCCCCAGGGUGAGAUAUGGAGUAGAGGGCACCCAGGAGCCCAGCCUUGCUGGGUAUGCUCUGUGUUGUCCAAGUGAGCAUGAUGUCCCCAGAUCACCUGUUGAAUGUAGUUAAGAUUUUCUUCUAGUAUAGUCUUGGUCCUGAGGCCAACCGUGGCCUAUAGACCCUGAGAUGGCACCCACUCAUUUUCUGCCUCCUGUUGUCCAGGCCUUUGUGCAGUCCCCUCCUCCUGAGUGCAGGUGGGGACUGUGACUUGCUGCUAACCGUAGGAUAAGGCAAAGGAUGCCACUCCUGUGAUCCCAGCAUGUUACAUGGAAGGCCAUGUUAGUAGCCUAGAGGGAAAGACUCUCCUUUGCUGGCUUUAAGGAAGGAAGUUGCCACGUUAUGAGAAGGAUGAUGGAGGGAGACACGGCGAGGAAUUACAGGCAGCCUCUUAGAGCUGAGAGUGGCCCAGCUAACAACCAGUAGCAAAAUGGGGACCUUGGUCAUAGAACUGCACAGGAAUUGACUUUUGCCAACAACUUUAAUGAACUUUGAAGUGGAGUGUUCCCCAGUCAAGGCUCCAGAUGAGAAUAGCAUAUACCUUCAUCAUAGCUUUGCGAGACCAUGGGCAAAGGACCCACAUGUGGUUUCCUGAACCACAGAAACUGUG
rnacentral:lncRNA from 1 species